GAUGAACGCUGGCGGCGUGCUUAACACAUGCAAGUCGAACGAAGCAUUUGCGACAGAUUUUUUCGGAAUGAAGUUGCCUAUGACUGAGUGGCGGACGGGUGAGUAACGCGUGGGUAACCUGCCUUGUACUGGGGGAUAGCAGCUGGAAACGGCUGGUAAUACCGCAUAAGCGCACAAUGUUGCAUGACAUGGUGUGAAAAACUCCGGUGGUAUAAGAUGGACCCGCGUCUGAUUAGCUAGUUGGUGAGAUAACAGCCCACCAAGGCGACGAUCAGUAGCCGACCUGAGAGGGUGACCGGCCACAUUGGGACUGAGACACGGCCCAGACUCCUACGGGAGGCAGCAGUGGGGAAUAUUGCACAAUGGAGGAAACUCUGAUGCAGCGACGCCGCGUGAGUGAAGAAGUAAUUCGUUAUGUAAAGCUCUAUCAGCAGGGAAGAUAGUGACGGUACCUGACUAAGAAGCUCCGGCUAAAUACGUG
rnacentral:rRNA from 1 species